rnacentral:rRNA from 1 species
AUACGAAGGGUGCUAGCGUUGUUCGGAAUUACUGGGCGUAAAGAGCAUGUAGGCGGAUAGAUUAGUCAGAGGUGAAAGCCCCGAGCUCAACUCGGGAACUGCCUUUGAUACUGUUUAUCUAGAGACCGAGAGAGGUGAGUGGAAUUCUCAGUGUAGAGGUGAAAUUCGUAGAUAUUGGGAAGAACACCAGUGGCGAAGGCGGCUCACUGGCUCGGAACUGACGCUGAGAUGCGAAAGCGUGGGGAGCAAACAGGAUUAGAUACCCUAGUAGUCC